AAUAUAUUGUUUUCUGGCUGUUCAAAGUAUUUUAUGAAUUAUGGAGUGACAAAAAGAGAUACCCAGAAUUCCCUCUGUAAAAACAUUUGACUCUAAUAUGUCAAAAAAAUAAAAUAAACAAACAAGAAUCCAGUGUUCAGAUUUUUGUACUAGAAAUGUAUGCAAAUUAGUUUAUAUUAAAUUAAAUAAUGCCUCAUUUGCAUAUUUAAACAUAACAUUUUAGAAAACGUGUAAAAUUGUUUGCAAUUAUCAAUGUAAUCAAUCAACUUGGUAAGUAUGGUGAUAAAUAUUAGUUUUUUUUUUGUUUUUGUUUUUUACCCUAAAUUACACAAAAUCAAUCCGUCCCCGUCAACACUAACAACCCCACAUUAUCCCCCCAAAGCCGCCCUGGGCACGGACACCCUGAUCUCUGCUCGGAUGGAGUGAGUGAGUGAGUGAAUGAGUGAGUGAUGGUGGAAUUUGGAAGUCUUGAGCGUCCGGGAGUAAUGGAGGCGGGGCGGUACGGGUCCAAGAGAGACUCGUCCACCGAGAAGAAACCUGCAUGAGGGGGGAAACGAGUGCGAGGGAGGAGGAGGAACAAGAAGAGAAGGGGAAGCAGCGAAAGAGUGCAGGGAAAACAGACGGGAGAGCGAAGAGAGAGAAUGAGGGGAGUGCCUGCGUUUGCAGCGGAUUAACAACUGCGCAAUUUCCAAACGCGCAUCUCUUCCUCAGAUCAAACUCAAAGUGGACAUGAGGGACUCGCGCCGUGGCAACAUCCUCGCCUGGCCGAGAGCGCACCAUUAUUAGUAGACCGCAGAGAAGUCGUGAGAUGCGUACGUGCGUUUUUUUUUUUUUUUUUUUUUUUUUUUUUUUUUUUUUUUUAUUUUGCGCGCUGGUGUUUGUGUCACAUCAUCUCCUCUUACAGUGGUUUCAUAACGCAGCUGCGCCGACAUUUUACAGUGUGCGAUUCAAAUGUGCUCAUGUAUGACAUGAUGAAGGUGCUGGCGGAUCGCGCGCUGCGCCGUCCAUUCACCGCGCGAGGUGAAAGAACCUACGCAGUUGCUUAUUUAGCUUGCAUUUUUACAAUGAGGACAUGCAAGAAGAAGAAGAAGAAGCCACCUCCCAGUUUGACACUCCGUGCAUUAGCAGAGUUUGCGGUUUCACCAUGGCUGAGAUUUGGUUGGCCAACAUGAGAAUCUCUCUGGAAGAGUCUAAAUCACAGGCCCAAGGAUACACCCAUAGUGGCUCCUGUCAACCAAUGGAGGAGGAAGAUCAAGACAGGAGGCUGGAUGGAUGGAGAGGACAGAGAUUCACGGAGCACUGGCAGCCACCACAGUUUUACUGAUCAGAGCAUUUGGAAAAUGCUGCAUGGGCUCUUUUGGGUACUUCAUCAAGUGUUAUAGUGAGUCAUGAUGUGCUGCUAUUUUAAUGAAUCCAUUCUAAUGAGUAUUCAUGUAGGUUUCCCUUUUUGUGUUCCACAGAAGAAAGAAAGUGAUUCGGCUUUGGAAUGACAUGAGGGUGAGUAAAUUAUGGUAACGUUUUCUUUUUUGGGUGAACUAUCCCUUUUAGUAGUGUUCUGUCCACUGUGACCAUUUAGCAGCAGCAAACGUGUGUGUGUGUGUGUGUGUGUGUGUGUGUGUGUGUGUGUGUGUGAGUGACCGAAAUAAAAGAAAGGGGAUUUGACA
ensembl:lncRNA